GAUGAACGCUGCCAGAAUGCUUAACACAUGCAAGUCAACUGUGGCGGACGGGUGCGUAACGCGUAAAGAACUUUCCUCACAGUUAGGGACAACAUUUGGAAACGAAUGCUAAUACCUGAUACUGUGAGAGAUCUUUGCGUCCCCUUAGCUAGUUGGAGAGGUAACGGCUCACCCAGGCGAUGAUGGGUAGCCGGCCUGAGAGGGUGAUCGGCAACAAGGGGAAUGAGAGACGGCGGUUACACCUACGGGGGGAAGCAGUGGGAAAUAUUGAGCAACAGACCAAAGUCUGAGCCAGCAAUUCUGUGUGCACGAUGAAGUUUUCGGAAUGUAAAAUGUUUUCAGGGGGGAAGCGGUACCAACAGAAGAAGUGACGGCUAAAUACGUGCCAGCAGCCGCGGUAAUUC
rnacentral:rRNA from 1 species